GGCCGUCUAGCUCAGCUGGUUAGAGCGUCGUGCUAAUAUGUUAGUCGUGAGACACUUGUUACGCGAAGGUCUUGGGUUCGACCCCCACGAUGGCCA